AAGUCGUAACAAGGUUUCCGUAGGUGAACCUGCGGAAGGAUCAUCACUGAAAUGUGAGUGGUUAAACCGACCCCUUGUGCACCUGUGGAGGGGGGUUUGUUCCCCCCUAUCAUUUCCUACACGCAUUUGUUGUUUUUGGCUCAGUGAUGUGACUGAAACAAGACACAACUUUUAACAACGGAUCUCUUGGUUCUCGCACCGAUGAAGAACGCAGCGAACUGCGAUACGUAAUGUGACUUGCAGAAUCUCGUGAAUCAUCAAAUCUUUGAACGCAAAUGGCGCCCCCGGGCAUUCCCGGGGGCACGCCUGUCUGAGUAUCAUUGACCUCUCCCUCGCUCUUCUACUUGGAAGGGCGGAUGCUGAGGGCCACGGCACGUGUGCUGCGCCCCUUGAAACGCGAGUUUUUAUAAGGUUGGGCUUUUGUUUCUUAGGAACGGUCCUUCCCUGCGCUGUAAGCGAGUGCCCCGUGCACCGACCCCCGCAGGCGGCCGCUUCCAUGGCUACAUUGCCCCACUUAACCCAUGAUCUCAGAUCAGGCGAGAGGACCCGCUGAACUUAA
rnacentral:rRNA from 1 species